GCCGGCAGACAGGCCAUCCAUCAUCCGCCCUCCUCCCGCGGAGCGCCGCAGCCGCCGCGGCCAAUCCGGCGGCAGGUGGGGCCGCACCUGCGCGACAGCCCGCCGCUUCCCUCCGCUCCCUUCGCCGCGCCUCGCGUGCUAGCGGUGCCCUUGUGAGCCACUGCGUUCUCCAAGGCCAGAACGGGACAGUUGACGAUGGUCGUACUUCUCCAUGUUCUGAGACCAGUUUAAACAAAAACAAAAACCAGACAACAACCUUGCAAGGGAAAGAAUUCAGAGUAAAUAAACAGUCUUUUUCUGGGAAGUAAAAUAUUUCCCUAAGAUGGAGAAAUUGAGAUGAGAGCUCAUCCACAAGAUUACCCAUCAAUGAGCACCAAUAGCAACCAAAUCCACUAGAAGACUGGGAGCUUUUAAGUCAAGAAACUUACAUCAGUAUCAUCAUUCCAAGAAGCGGUAUCCAAGCUGUUUUAUCGAAAGUGCGCAUGGGAGAUAAGACUCUGAGAAUUUAUAGAAACAAACAUUAGAAGGCAGGAAUGUGGAGAGAAGAAAGCUACCUGACAAGGGAAUCUCAGGAUACAAGGAAAACACCAAGAAGUCCCCAUGAGUCCCUACAGCCACAAUAAAUUGAAUUCUGCCAAAAAUCUUAAUAAGCUUGGAAGAAGACCUUCAGCUCCUGAUGAGAACCCAGCCAGAAACAAGAUGAGAACCCAGAAACAAGAUUUUCAUCUUAUUUCAACCUGAGCAGAGAACCCAGAGGAGCCCUGGCCAGAUUUUUGGUCUACAGGAUUGAGAAGACACCUGCCUGAGGGUCUUAUAGCUAAUGGACUGCAGAAGACUUGAGUCAUCAUUCAAAUUCAGUAGCCAUCCUCUGAUGUCCAGUUGAAGAUUGGUGAUUCCAGAAUAGCUCGCAUUGCCCCAGUUGACUUGCCACACAGCUUCUUUCAGGACUUGAAAAUGUCCUAGCCACCCCCAUCUUACCUCCUACUUCCAAUGCCUUUUAAGAUAGAAAACAAAAAACAAAACAACAAAAAAACACCAGCCACCCUUGUGGGUUAGAUAAUCCUACAUCAAGGUGAAUUCUUGAUAACCAGUUCUGUUCUUCCUUAUGUCUUGUAAACAUGCUAAUUAGAAGGAGCUUGUGUUUGAAGAUCAAGGGAGGAAGAAUUCUGAAGCCAGGGCUAGCCUUAGGGGACAUAACUCCUUCCAGUCACUUCCUGAAUUUUUUGGUACCUGGCUUUUGAGAGUCCUCCAAAGUGAGAAUUUCAUGACAUGUAACCUCUCAACACCUGCAUUUUAAAAAAUUGUCCAAAAUACCGCAGAUACCACAGAAAAGUCCAAAACUUAAGUUUUUCCCUCCACUCAGAGCAUCUUAGCAACAUACUAACCAUAAGACUCUAAGCGCUCUUACCCUCAAUGCAAUUCUCACUGAAUAUCCUGUCAGGAGAACUCUACCUCUCUUCCAUGUUAUUAAGGUUAUUGUUCUUUGCAAGGUGUACACAACACAAAUAUAUUUCUUGGUGAAUGAACUCACUCUCAAAGACUGCUGUCCUUGGGGAUAUAGCCAACAUGCCAUAUCCACAACAUAGGUCUUCUUUACAGUCCUGUUGAAACAUGUAAGAUCAGCUACUAAGUCCCUGCAUCUCAGACAGGAACUUAAUAGAGUACAUUUAAAAAAAAAAUUCAGAAGUAAUUAAAACAAAUUGCAUACAAGCCACCUGUUUAGAAAGUUCAUAAAUUUUAUGCAAUUAUUUAUCUCUUUAUUUUUUCUGAAAUCAAGAGCAGAAUGUAUCCAAGUGAAACUAAAAGAGCGAGGUCAAGGGGAAACAACACAGGGCUUGUGGAGUCAUAAAUAUGUAUUAAAGCAGCAGAGUUAAUUUUGUCCCAAGUUCCAUAUUGGCCAGGAAAAAAGAAACAAGAUCAGCAGAGUUAACAGCUCUCAACCUGAAUAUGCCUCAGAAUUUCUAGGAGGACUUAAGUAAUGAGAUUCCUGGGUUUCUACAUGGACCAACUCAAUCAAACUCUUCAGGAGACAGCUGCUGUUGUUAGACUGUGUCUCCCAAAAUUCUUGUGUUGGAAACUUAGUUCCCAAUGUAAUGAUACUGGCAGGUGUGGCCUAGUGGGGGGUGUUUAGAUCAUGAGGGCUUCAGCCUCAUGAAUGGAUUAAUGUUGAUAUCUCAGGAGUGAGUUUCCUCUUGCUCUCUGUAGCCCUCUCUCUUGCCACAUGAUGACUUCCACCAGGUUAUGACUCAACAGGAAGGCCCUCACAAGAUGUGGAACCUCAAUCUUAGACUUCUCAGCCUCCAGAAGUGAGCCAAAUAAAUUUCUGUUCAUUAUACAUUA
ensembl:lncRNA LETR1 lymphatic endothelial transcriptional regulator lncRNA 1